rnacentral:rRNA from 1 species
AUUGAACGCUGGCGGCAGGCCUAACACAUGCAAGUCGAGCGGAUGAAGGGAGCUUGCUCCUGGAUUCAGCGGCGGACGGGUGAGUAAUACCUAGGAAUCUGCCUGGUAGUGGGGGAUAACGUCCGGAAACGGGCGCUAAUACCGCAUACGUCCUGAGGGAGAAAGUGGGGGAUCUUCGGACCUCACGCUAUCAGAUGAGCCUAGGUCGGAUUAGCUAGUUGGUGGGGUAAAGGCCUACCAAGGCGACGAUCCGUAACUGGUCUGAGAGGAUGAUCAGUCACACUGGAACUGAGACACGGUCCAGACUCCUACGGGAGGCAGCAGUGGGGAAUAUUGGACAAUGGGCGAAAGCCUGAUCCAGCCAUGCCGCGUGUGUGAAGAAGGUCUUCGGAUUGUAAAGCACUUUAAGUUGGGAGGAAGAGCAGUAAGUUAAUACCUUGCUGUUUUGACGUUACCAACAGAAUAAGCACCGGCUAACUUCGUG